rnacentral:lncRNA from 1 species
UGUUCCUCUAGAGAUUCCAUAGAUCAUGAACUUUGCAUUUAAAUUUUUUAAAUGCUAAUUUGUUUUAUAUUGUGAAUUAGUAUCAGUGCUUGAUUUUAAGAAGUCAAGCUGACAGACACAAAAAACAUUCUUAGGACUGGGGUUGUGGCUCAGUGGCAGAGCGCUUGCCUCACACAUGUGAAGCACUGGAUUUGAUCCUCAGCACCACAUAAAAAAUAAACAAACAAAAUAAAGAUAUUGUGCCCAGGUAUAACUAAAAAAAAAAUUUAAAAAACAUUCUUAUUAUUAACAUUUGUAUAUGAUGUCCCAUGUUUAUUUGGAGUUGGGUGGAGGGAAAUAUUCCUUAUCUGACUUUUGGUAAAAAUGAUUAUUAGAGGGUUAAACUCUUGGGAAAGAAAUCACAAGUGGUUAGGUCAAACAGUACAUGUACAAGGGAGGCAUGGAAGGAGAGUUAAAUCUUAGCACUGGAAGAAAAAGCUCACAGUACACCUGGACAAACAGGUUUUGACUUAGUUACAGUAAGUGUCCCCUGCUCUGUCAGUCAGCAAGCAUCCUGACCCCACACCCAUAUCUUUUAAGGCACCAUUCUCCAUUGUCUUCAAAUUCUGUGUACCUCAGACAAGAUUUUAUACACAUCUCUAGGUCCUAUGCUUGCAUGUCACAGUUAAUCUCUUCCCAGGAAAGGUGCUGUGAAAAGACACCCCCCUCAGCCUGACCCUCUCCCUGGCUCACAGUCCCUUUGUGGUGCUUCAUGUUCCCG